UCUAUUGGCAGGAAGGCGUCUUGGCGCCUUCUCUUCGCACCGUUUUCCGGAGACUGUUAGAGGAAGAGUCGCUUUUUCCUGCCUCCCAGGCUGCCCAGCGGCGCCGGUUGCCGGGGAACGCAGGCGCCGUGGGGAGGGAUGGCGGGAGGAUACUGCUUAGGUGCUGGAGACGGAGUUGAGCUGGUGAAGAAGAGCUCGGGCUCAUCAUGAAACAACGAAAAGGCCAAGGGUCUGGGGGUAGCCGUGGGCGCAAAAAAAGAGGUUUGAGUGACAUUUCUCCAUCUACAAGCCUGCCACCUCUGGUUGAAGGCCAGCUACGCUGCUUUCUAAAACUUACUGUUAAUAGAGUCAUAUGGAAGAUUGCAAAGCCUCCCACUUGUGUACUUGUCCGAGUGAGAUGGUGGGGAGAAACAUCAGAUGGAACCCUCUUUUAUCCCAGGGAUGCAUUGCAGACUGAACCAAAAGCUGUGAGAACAACUACACGUUACGCUAUUCGUUGUGGUCCAAAACAGUUUACCUCUUAUCUAACAGGCUGGUGUCAAACUUCUGUACCCAACAAUCCUCCUGCCUUGGCCUCCCAAAUUGCUGGGAUUACAGAUAUGGCUGUGCUGGUGCUGGAAGUAAUCACCAAACUUGACCAUCUUCCGAUUGGUAGAGUUCAGAUCAAUGGACUAGCUCAACUUUCUCCAACGCAUCAAAUCAAUGGAUUUUUUACCAUUGUUUCAUCAACGUCUAAGAAACUUGGAGAACUCCAGGUCUCACUUGC
rnacentral:sRNA from 1 species